CUACGGUCAAAAUUACGUUGAAACAUCGGCUCUCGUACGAACACCAAAGUUUAGCAACGUCGAGCGUGGUCAGUACCUCGAUGGGUGACCGCUUGGGAAUACCAGGUGUUGUAUG